UAGUUGCGUAUCGACUACAGUAGUGUG
rnacentral:piRNA from 1 species